UUUAAUAGCCAUCACAGCACUGAUUCUCUACUCAACUUGUCGCCUCCUAGGGUUCUCAACUUCUGCUUAAUUUAGUUUUCUUCCUUCUGUUGUUGUAUGUAUGAUUGUUUACAGAUCAAGUUUUUCUGAUUUCGAUGCAACAAAAGAGAAAGAGGAGAUCUUUGCAUCUGUUUACCCUCUCCUGUUUAGGCAAAUCUCAAUGCUAUAGGGGAUAAAACUGAUGCAGAUACUUAAAGAAAUAUGGCAAGUGAUGAGGAUUUUUGAUCGUAUACUGAUGAACCCUGUAGACUUACAACUCCGCUUAUUAUCUGAUGCCAUUUUUUUCCCACUUUUUUGUAAAAUUUUUACCUUGAUUUUCGUCUUGGAAGAAAAGUCUUCAUCUCUGUAAGAGUGGAAGGCGAAUGAUGUGAAUAAAAAAAUCACUUAUACUACACACUGAUUUCAGUGUGAAGACAAUAAUUCUCUCAAAUAAUCUGAUGCCUUCUUUAUCUUAAUCUUUAUCUCAAAUUAUCUUGAAUUUAAUUUAUUGUUGGUCAAUGAUGAGAAUCAAGCAGACGGGCGGUCUGACACUGAUGCCGUGUUGAAUGUCUGCAAUUUCCCACUUGUGGAAUAUCUCUGAGUCUGAAUGUUUACAACAAAUAGUAGUUUUCGAGUUAUUUAUUCUUAUUGUUUUGUGCUAUGAUGAAGUUGCUUAUAUAUGUCUGGACAUAUGAAACCUCAUUUAAUGAUAUGUUAUGCAUCUUCUGAGCAGAAUUUUAUGUGUAUUUUCCUCUUUUCAACUUUUGUUUUGUGCAAUAUUAGCUAAGAGGACCUGACACUGGGCUUGUUGCCUGUUUACUGAACGCUUUGUAUGUGGGGAUGAGUCAAAAGGGCUUAGAUUAGUAACUUUUCUUGUUUUCUUUGGAUUUAGUUAAUUGUUCUAUGGUCUUCGUAGCAAUUGGGAAAUCUAGAUACUAUGUUUUGCAGUAUAUUGCUAAUAAUUUCCGUGCUCAAGGAA